rnacentral:rRNA from 1 species
UACGUAGGGUGCAAGCGUUGUCCGGAAUUAUUGGGCGUAAAGAGCUCGUAGGCGGUCUGUCGCGUCGGCUGUGAAAUCCCGAGGCUCAACCUCGGGUCUGCAGUCGAUACGGGCAAACUAGAGUAUUGCAGGGGAGUCUGGAAUUCCUGGUGUAGCGGUGAAAUGCGCAGAUAUCAGGAGGAACACCGGUGGCGAAGGCGGGUCUCUGGGCAAUAACUGACGCUGAGGAGCGAAAGCGUGGGGAGCGAACAGG